rnacentral:snoRNA from 1 species
GCUGGUGAGGACUGCGUCCUGUAUAUUCCUAGAUCUUCCCAGAGCCUUUGGGCCGUUACUGGGGAGGUAAACCAUGCAGUGCACAUUA